rnacentral:lncRNA from 10 species
GAGUGCUGGGAUUACAGGUGUGAGCCACUAUGCCUGGCCUUGUCUGCUCAGUUUUAUAACGAUCGCUGAAGCAAAAUGAAAUGGAAAGGUUGGAGAGUAAGAGUAAAUAAAAUGACUUGGCCUGCACAUUUUGUGGAAUUUCCCCAAAUAGUUUACCAAAUAUGAAAUGCUUCGGGCUCAAAUGGGAUUUUUUUGUUUGUUUCUUUCUUUUAAUUUAGAAGCAACCCUGAAUAUUUGACCCCUGGUAUAAAUUGUGUUACCAGAAGCCUAGAAAUUUGUAUUUCAAAUUUCCUGUCAUUUUUUUUUCUUUUUUUACACAUUUGUUUGUAGUCAUUCACUACUCAUUUAAGGAAAAAAAAAAUCACUAUCUGGGAUGGAUAGCAGUUUUUCUAAAUUUCAUAGUAAUUUUUUUACCUGUUCAUAAGAUUUUGAUUUACUUUAACAUCUCUUUGGGGCAUAGUUCAAAAUAUCUACUGCUCCCUUACAAAUCACUACAUGAUUUUGGCUUCAGCUUUGUUUGAAUUUAUUGAGCUUUUCUGUUUAUGUUGCCUGCAAGCCAACUGUCUACAUAAAGCACUCUUCCACUUCAGUUUUGUGCCACAGGACUUCAUCUACCCAAGUCUGAAACAAGUUCCCAGAGGAAUUAGCUUUAUCUCCUUACUAAUAAAAUUUUUUUUUUUUUUUUUUUUUUUGAGAUGGAGUCUUGCUAUGUCACCAGGCUGGAGUGCAGUGGUGCGAUCUCGGCUCAGUGCAACCUCCACCUCCUGGGUU